rnacentral:tRNA from 1 species
CUUAUGCGGUUUGCUCCCAAAGGCGGCGCAGGUCGGCUUCGCCGGGGAGAGCGCCGUCCUCGUCGCGGUAGCUGAGGGAGGCGGUGU